AACGAACGCUGGCGGCAUGCCUAACACAUGCAAGUCGAACGAGAUCUUCGGGUCUAGUGGCGCACGGGUGCGUUACGCGUGGGAAUCUGCCCUUUGGUUCAGAAUAACAGUUGGAAACGACUGCUAAUACCGGAUGAUGACGAAAGUCCAAAGAUUUAUCGCCAGAGGAUGAGCCCGCGUAGGAUUAGCUAGUUGGUGUGGUAAAGGCGCACCAAGGCGACGAUCCUUAGCUGGUCUGAGAGGAUGAUCAGCCACACUGGGACUGAGACACGGCCCAGACUCCUACGGGAGGCAGCAGUGGGGAAUAUUGGACAAUGGGCGAAAGCCUGAUCCAGCAAUGCCACGUGAGUGAUGAAGGCCUUAGGGUUGUAAAGCUCUUUUACCCGGGAUGAUAAUGACAGUACCGGGAGAAUAAGCUCCGGCUAACUCCGUGCCAGCCGCCGCCGUAA
rnacentral:rRNA from 1 species